rnacentral:rRNA from 1 species
AGGGCACCACCAGGAGUGGAGCCUGCGGCUUAAUUUGACUCAACACGGGAAAACUCACCCGGCCCGGACACUGGAAGGAUUGACAGAUUGAGAGCUCUUUCUUGAUUCAGUGGGUGGUGGUGCAUGGCCGUUCUUAGUUGGUGGAGUGAUUUGUCUGGUUAAUUCCGAUAACGAACGAGACUCUAGCCUAUUAAAUAGAUCGUUGGCCUACAAACGCCGGCGAGACUUCUUAGAGGGACAGGCGGCGAUUCAGCCGCACGAAACAGAGCAAUAACAGGUCUGUGAUGCCCUUAGAUGUCCGGGGCCGCACGCGCGCUACACUGAAGUGAUCAGCGUGCAUUUUGAAACCUACUCUGUCAAGAGUGGGGAACCCAAUGAACCUUCUUCGUGAUUGGGAUAGGGGAUUGUAAUUAUUCCCCUUGAACGAGGAAUUCCCAGUAAGCGCGAAUCAUAAGUUUGCGCUGAUUACGUCCCUGCCCUUUGUACACACCGCCCGUCGCUACUACCGAUUGAAUGUUU